rnacentral:lncRNA from 10 species
GAAGUCACUGUCCAUCAUACAGUGCUUUAAUUUGAGAUGCCUCUUCUGGGAACCCAGCCACCAUGUUGUAAGGACGCUCAGAACACAUAAAAACGUGACAUUUAGAUAUACCAGCCAAUAGGAACACUGGCUAAAACCCAGCUAAGGUUUCAGCUAAGCAGCGAGCAUCAACCACCAAGUGUAAGAGUGAACAAGCCUUCAGAUAAUUCUAGCCUCCAGCCUUCAAGCUGUCUUAGGUAAUGCUGACUGGAGUAGAGAUGACUGUCCUCACAGGUUCCUGCCCAAAUUGCAGAUUUGCAGGCAAAGUAUGUGCUGUUAAUAUUAUAAGCCACAAAAUUUUGGGGUGGUUUGUUACAUAAUAGAUAACCAGAACACGGAAUCUCAGAAAUUAAAUGCAAUGCUACCAAUUUUAGAAUCAAAAAAGGUUUUCAAAGGAUGUCAUCUGAGAUUUUCAAAAUACAAAGCUGAAAUGUGUCC